rnacentral:tRNA from 1 species
GCCGACGAGCUUCGGAAGCGGAACGGAUUCCAAACCCGUUUCCCGAGGGUUCGACUCCUUCCGUCGGUGCC